rnacentral:snRNA from 1 species
AGCUUUGCACAAUGGCAGUAUUGUAGCCAAUGAGGUUUAUCAGAGGCGUGAUUAUUGCUAAUUGAAAAAAAGA